UAUGUCCAAAUAAGCAGUAUCUGACCUUGCCAUGACCGGAAAAUAAAAAAUCAUUGCUCAAAAGUGAAAGUAAAAAAUUCGAAGGCCAAUAUUUUGCAGAAAGAAGGCAGAUUCACUUGAAAUUUAGCUUUUAAUAAAUCAAUUAUUGUGUUUUUUAAUAAAUUCUAACCAUUUGAAUCAGGUAUAUGCGCGUGAAAUAAUAUAUAUUUAUUUAUUUCCAACACCACUAUUCCUGUGCAGUAGAGUUACUCCCCUUUACGCGGAAUUAUUACAUUGAUGUUACGGUGAAUUCGGGAGCGAUCUUUUGAGCAGUUUUACGGAUAUCCGUACGAUAAACACAGUAUUUGUUUGGCAGGAAGAGAAAUCGUCUCAUUUGGUAUCGAUGCAGAGAACAUGACUGACAAAGAUCUAUUGGACAGUGAUUAUGAUGGGAUUUCACAAAUACAUGAGCACAGUUACAUUGUGAUAUCGGACUCUGACGAGACACAACCACCUUCACCUUUUGGUUGACAGGAAUAUUCCAGUGAAAGAUCAGUUGUUUAACAGCCUUUUUGACAAACAAAUUCCUGGUGCUGCCAUUCCUAAUCAACCGACAUAUCAGAAUUUUGGAUAAGAAUUCAGAUUACUGGCUGCAUAUUCAACCGAAUUUUUGGGUCCUGGGUUGGUGGGGGGUAACGUGUUUCAGACCAGAAUCCUGCCGGACCAUCCAGUUGCAAGGACAUCUAACAUAGC